rnacentral:pre_miRNA from 1 species
UGUAGUCUAUCAGUGGAACCGGUGUCGCUAAGAACCUUUGGUUCGAGCUGUUUGUAAACUACACC